CACCACCACCCCCUUGCCGCCCCGAAAUCCGGCGCCUUCCCGGGCGGCUCUCCUACACACAGGCGCACAACUUCGCGUCUUUCCAAAGGAAAGGAGGGAGACAGAGGUGAUCCUACCCCGGUCCUUCUCUCCCUCCUUGCCCGAAUCCUGGUCCUGCCCGGCCCCCGGGUGUACGGAACCAGGGUUGCAGGCGCGCCGGCAGGAGGCGGGCACCAGGUCCGCGCGCGCACAACUGCACUCACGCCCCGCACACCCGAAGAGCCCCGAACCCCGCGCGCAGACCAAGCCGGCUCCGCGCAGCCGGGCAUUCCUCGGUCGCCUGGGCCUCGGCCCCGGGUCGCCAAGAAGAGCGCAGCGGAGCUCUGCCGCCGGGCACUCGCCCGGCUCGCCAGGUCCCAGCGGACCCUAAAAGGGAAAAAGCUCCAGCACCCGGCGCUCCACUAUCGCACCCCAGGAGUACAAGGAGAGCGGGAGGAAGGCCUGGGGCCAGCGGACGCCCGGGUCUGGCCCCAAACUUACCCGGUGCUGCGAGCGCCGCUGCUGCCGCUGGAGGACGCGCCGCUGCCACAGCCACCGCUGCCCGGCAGGGCCGGCUCCGGCCGGGAGGAGCUGCGAGGGCGCCGAGACGGGCUCCGCGCCGGCUUCUGCUCCGCGCCGACCGGGGCUGGGGUCACCGCGCUGCGCCGGCGCUGCUCGCUUGCUCGGCCGCCCGGUCGCUGCUCGCCGCCCGCCGCCUGGCCGAUCGCUCUCCCGGGCACUCGCCCGGCUCGCCAGGUCCCAGCGGACCCUAAAAGGGAAAAAGCUCCAGCACCCGGCGCUCCACUAUCGCACCCCAGGAGUACAAGGAGAGCGGGAGGAAGGCCUGGGGCCAGCGGACGCCCGGGUCUGGCCCCAAACUUACCCGGUGCUGCGAGCGCCGCUGCUGCCGCUGGAGGACGCGCCGCUGCCACAGCCACCGCUGCCCGGCAGGGCCGGCUCCGGCCGGGAGGAGCUGCGAGGGCGCCGAGACGGGCUCCGCGCCGGCUUCUGCUCCGCGCCGACCGGGGCUGGGGUCACCGCGCUGCGCCGGCGCUGCUCGCUUGCUCGGCCGCCCGGUCGCUGCUCGCCGCCCGCCGCCUGGCCGAUCGCUCUCCCGGGCGCCCGCCGCCGCUCGCUUUUUUAAUGUCCACAGACAGUGAAAAGGAACUCGGCGUUAGGGGGUGA
rnacentral:lncRNA from 1 species